UGAAUACGAGACGCUAAGGCGUCGAAGUAGUGUAUGUCAUACUUCCAAGAAAAGCUUGCACUGUCAUAGAUAAAAAACGCCUGUACCAUAACCGACACAGGUGGGUAGGUAGAGUAUACUAAGGGGCGCGAGAUAACUCUCUCUAAGGAACUCGGCAAAAUAACUCCGUAACUUCGGGAGAAGGAGUGCCUUAUUCGUAAGGUUGCAAUAACAAGAUCCAAGCAACUGUUUAUCAAAAACACAGGUCUCCGCUAAGUCGUAAGACGAUGUAUGGGGGCUGACGCCUGCCCAGUGCCAGAAGGUUAAAGAAGUUGGUUAGCAAUUGCGAAGCUGAUAACUGAAGCCCUGGUGAACGGCGGCCGUAACGAUAACGGUCCUAAGGUAGCGAAAUUCCUUGUCGGGUAAGUCCCGACCCGCACGAAAGGCGUAAUGAUUUGGAUACUGUCUCGGAGAGGGGCUCGGUGAAAUAGACUUGUCUGUGAAGAUGCGGACUACCUGCACCAGGACAGAAAGACCCUAUGAAGCUUUACUGUAACUUGAAAUUGAAAUUGGACUUUAUUCGCGCAGUAUAGGUGGGAGGCGUUGAUUAUAAUCUUGUGGGAUUAUUGGAGCCAUCAGUGAGAUACCACUCUUGUAAUGUUAGAUUUCUAACUUUGAAUCAUUAUCUGGUCAAAGAACAGUUUCAGGCGGGCAGUUUGACUGGGGCGGUCGCCUCCUAAACGGUAACGGAGGCGUACAAAGGUUUCCUCUGAACGGUUAGAAAUCGUAUCUAGAGUGUAAAGGCAUAAGGAAGCUUGACUGUGAGACCUACAAGUCGAGCAGGGACGAAAGUCGGUCUUAGUGAUCUGACGGUACUGAGUGGAAAGGCCGUCACUCAACGGAUAAAAGUUACUCUAAGGAUAACAGGCUGAUCUCCCCCAAGAGUUCACAUCGACGGGGAGGUUUGGCACCUCGAUGUCGGCUCAUCGCAUCCUGGGGCGGUAGUACGUCCCAAGGGUUGGGCUGUUCGCCCAUGAAAGCGGUACGCGAGCUGGGUUCAGAACGUCGUGAGACAGUUCGGUCCAUAUCCGGUGUAGGCGUUAGAAUAUUGAGAGGAGCCUUCUUUAGUACGAGAGGACCGAGAAGGACAUACCUCUGGUGUACCAGUUAUCGUGCCAACGGUAAACGCUGGGUAGCUAUGUAUGGAGUGGAUAACCGCUGAAAGCAUCUAAGUGGGAAGCCCACCUCAAGAUAAGUAUUCCC
rnacentral:rRNA from 1 species